GAUCAUGGCUCAGGACGAACGCUGGCGGCGUGCUUAACACAUGCAAGUCGAACGAAGAGCGAUGGAAGCUUGCUUCUAUCAAUCUUAGUGGCGAACGGGUGAGUAACGCGUAAUAAACCUGCCCCUCAGAGGGGGACAACAGUUGGAAACGACUGCUAAUACCGCAUACGAUCCAAUCUCGGCAUCGAGGAUGGAUGAAAGGUGGCCUCUAUUUAUAAGCUAUCACUGAAGGAGGGG
rnacentral:rRNA from 1 species